rnacentral:lncRNA from 1 species
GAAAACUAACCUGGUAAGGCAUGAGAGAUACAAUGGGGCAGGAUCGGGGGCCGGGGGAAAUGAAGGUUUGGCAUAGCUAAGGUUUGACUGAGUACUGUUCUCGCAAGUGAACCUAGCGGGAAAGCUGAAGAAGGUGAGAUGAAAAGGCCAUUUAGGUCCAGACCUAAUGAGACACAGACAAAGAGUUUGAAAGGGAGUAGUAGAGAGACUUGGAAGAAGGGAAAAUACAUCUAUUCCAGGUAGACAACCAUGAGCUGAUGGAGUGUUCUGACAGAAAGAAGAUGGCUAAGAAGAGUAGAAAAGAGGAUAGAUGGAUUUAUCAAGAAAGCA